CACAGUCUCUUAUGGUCCAGUUCAUAGAUAAUUGCUGAUGGCUUUCAUACCACUAAGGCAAAAACAUUGUACUGUACACAAGGUGCAUUCUGCUUUAUUAUUUGGCUGCAGAGAAAACCAUCAUC